rnacentral:tRNA from 3 species
CCCCCCGUAGCUUAGCGGUAAAGCAAUUGCCUCUUAAGCAAGUGACCGAAGGUUCGAAUCCUUCCGGGGGGA